ACUUUUUAAAUUUUUACAAAAAAAUAUGCAAAAAAUAGAAAGAAAAUAAAAUCUUUGAUUUUUUAAUAUAAAUUGUUAGCUUUUUUAUUUUUUUUAGUGACUUUUUAACUAAAAAAACCACUUGCCAAAACGAGGCCUUAGUCCCUCAAGCUACUGCUAAUCAAUUCUGCAACUAAAAAGGAUUGAAUGGUGCUGGGUGGAUCCUCUAAGAAGACCUAGUGUUCCUUCUGUUCACACCAAUGUUAGCCAGAGCAUCUGCACUCUGAUUUGCCUCUCUUGGAGUGUGCUGGAUGGUGCAAUUGCAUCUCUUUAACAUGAAGUUAAAAUCCUCAAUUAGAGCUCUGUAUAGGCAUGUUCUUUCAGCUCCUCCUUUGACUAGCUCCAUAGCUGUUAAGGAAUCAGUCUCUAUAUUCUGCAUGAUGAUUGUCAGACCUCUAUACAGACCCCAUAGUUCAGUUUCUAGACUAGUGCAAUUGCCCAGGUAUCCAUAGUAUCCCCACACCCAGGUGCCCACUUCAUCUCUAAGCAGCCCUCCAUAUCCAGAUUGGCCUGGAUCACCUUUAAAGCAUCCAUUAGUGUUCAAUUUGAGUUUGCCUGCAAUAGGAAGAGACCAUUGAGUUAGUACAGGUUCUGAAUAAAGAAGAUUUAGGGGCUUGAGAAAGGCUUCCUGUGUUUCCUUGGCCUGUUGUAGAAUUAUGCUAGAACAGAUGUGAGAAGGCUGAGAAUGAUCCAAAUGGAUUAGGACACCCUCUCAAAAGGUUCCAUAUCUUCUAUAGUGGUUUGGCACCUGGGACUUGAAAAUUUUUAAUUUCAACUACCGUGGUCUAAUUGGAAAUGGUUGUCCAACUCACUAAUCACUAGAGCCUAAUUUGAUAGACAAAAUGUAAUUUCAAAUUUUGAACAAUUUAAAUCAUACAACUAAACACUUAAUUCUUUUUAUUUAUUAUUUUGAAAUGAGGGAUGGAGAAGAAAAUGUGUGCUUAGCUGUAGGAUGUAAAUGAUCUAAAAUAGUUGAGGCUGCAACUCAGGUGAUUCGAUCCGGUUGAUCGUCUUUCCAAGCUCAAUCCAAAAUGUAGAGAGAUCUGCCUAAAUACGAGCUUGAGCCUGAGCCUGAGCCUCAGUUUAAUUUAAUAAAGUCGGGCUAGGCUUGGGUUACCCAAAUUCAAUCCAAAAAAAAUUAUCUUUUGUUUUCUAACCUAAUGUAUGGCAAUUUUUAAAAAUAAAAAAUAAAAAAUAUCUGAAAAACAUACAAACAUGAACAAUUAUAAGAAAUUAAUUUGAAUUAUGUUUACCAAAUGAUACGAAAAUAUUACAACACAAUACGAUUUAAUUCAAACGAUGAGAGAACGAUACGUAAUUUAUAAUGUUUUAGUUUAUUAUAUAUAAUUUAUAUAUAUUAACUGCAGAAUUUGAGUUAUUGGGUUGUUCAGAUUGUGAAAACCCCCACUCAAUAAAUUUGUACCCAAGUCCUGAGCAAGUUUAAAAUUAUAUUACCCAAGUAGUAAAAAUUUACGGGCUGAGUUCGGAUUGUUCGAGUUAGGUCCACCCAUGUCACAUGACUUGGGGGUCGUUGGCAAGUGGAUAUUUUAGUAUAAAAAAAUAUAUCAAAAUUCACUAAAAAAAUCACCC